GAUGAACGCUGGCGGCGUGCCUAAUACAUGCAAGUCGAGCGAACAGACGAGGAGCUUGCUCCUCUGACGUUAGCGGCGGACGGGUGAGUAACACGUGGAUAACCUACCUAUAAGACUGGGAUAACUUCGGGAAACCGGAGCUAAUACCGGAUAAUAUAUUGAACCGCAUGGUUCAAUAGUGAAAGACGGUUUUGCUGUCACUUAUAGAUGGAUCCGCGCCGCAUUAGCUAGUUGGUAAGGUAACGGCUUACCAAGGCGACGAUGCGUAGCCGACCUGAGAGGGUGAUCGGCCACACUGGAACUGAGACACGGUCCAGACUCCUACGGGAGGCAGCAGUAGGGAAUCUUCCGCAAUGGGCGGAAGCCUGACGGAGCAACGCCGCGUGAGUAAUGAAGGUCUUCGGAUCGUAAAACUCUGUUAUUAGGGAAGAACAAAUGUGUAAGUAACUAUGCACGUCUUGACGGUACCUAAUCAGAAAGCCACGGCUAACUCCGUG
rnacentral:rRNA from 1 species